rnacentral:rRNA from 1 species
AGAGUUUGAUCAUGGCUCAGGAUGAACGCUAGCUACAGGCUUAACACAUGCAAGUCGAGGGGCAGCAUGUUGGUUGCUUGCAACCAACGAUGGCGACCGGCGCACGGGUGAGUAACGCGUAUCCAACCUACCCUUGUCCAUCGGAUAACCCGUCGAAAGGCGGCCUAACACGAUAUGCGGUUCACAGCAGGCAUCUAACGUGAACGAAAUGUAAAGGAGAAGGAUGGGGAUGCGUCUGAUUAGCUUGGUUGGCGGGGUAACGCCACCAAGGCGACGAUCAGUAGGGGUUCUGAGAGGAAGGUCCCCCANAUUGGAACUGAGACACGGUCCAAACUCCUACGGAGGCA